UAAUCUUGGAACAAGACAAGUUUUUGUUCAAUUAAUUGUGGCUGGAAACUUUUUAAUGGAAACAUAGCACACACUUACUUCAUUUCAGGUUAUUAAAUUGUGUUAAGCAUUAAAGUUAGUUGCAAUUCUUUGCUGUACCUCAUUUGUUCUUCUCGAUCCAAAGAAAUAUUAGAAGGUUAAAACUUAUCACAUAGGAGGGAUUAAUCAUGCUACCAAAAUUAGAAAGCAUGUAGCUCUGUAAGACCGAGUGUGGAAAUUGUGUGCUCAUAGCACUUAAACUAUUGGGAAUCUAGGCUUCCCCUGCAGCACUUGACAUGGCAAUUCAUGUCUGUGGAAACCCCUGGUAGUUGGAAGCUGGCUAAAGCUAGGGUUCUCUUAUUCAUUGGUUAAGGGCACCACUUUCAGAUAAAAACAUAGACCUGAAUAGCAUCAUCCAGUAUCCAAGGAAACCAUGACUUCUAGACUGAGGAAAAUGAGAGAAGCAAGAAACAUCAGCUCAUCAAUCCAGAAUGUCAGAGAAAGCAAUAUUUUUUUUAAAGGAAAAAGGCUUAGACUAUUCAUGGACCUUUCAAUAUAGUCCUAUUUAAUCUACACUAUUUUUGAAUUAAGAUCUAGUCCUAUUAGGCAUUCCUUUUCUUCUUUGCUACCCUCACAAACAACUACCUUGUCUCCCCCAUCUCUUUUCUCUAGAUCAUUUUCCCGGUCUUUUUUUCUAUUAAUACACAUUGUGCUGUGUCUCAAACCCUUACUGUGGCCUUCAGAGGUGAACACACAUGAAGAAUUGAGUACAGGGCCAAUAUAUGUAUUUAGCCCUGGGUAUAUCACUGCCACACCCCACUCCACAGAGAAAAGGUGCUUUUGGAUCCCAGGAGCUCUCUAGUUCUUCAUGAAGCUCCCAGCUGUGUCCACUUGCCACCUGACUUCUUAUUGUUUCUGUUGCCUAGAUGUCCCCAGUCCCUGCCUACUUGUCCUGCCAGACCACCAGGUCGGUCUGGUCUCAGGGUACAGCUGUUUCUCGCCGUUACUUUCUUCCAUUAUUGACAAUUUCUGGAUAACCUAUGGAAAUUUGUGGUGACAACUUUGAACAACUCUGGGUUUUGUAGCUGGCUCCUUGGAAAUCUCCAGUGAAAUUCCCAGAGUGAUAAGAGCUAAAGAAGUUCAAAGGACCAGCAGAGAUUGCCACAGAAACUGCAGCAUUUUCAAAGCAGUAUUGCUUUUAGGCUAUGAACUACAAUGGGCACAAAGAAUGAUUAUCCCUUUUAAAAAUGCUAUGUUGUGACUCUCGAUACUUGCCUCACUGGUUGUCACAACUGUCUACAGACAGAGUUCUUCAGUGUGUGGUGCAUGGCUCCACACUAUUCUGCCACUCAAGUGAAGGGUAUGCCUAGGGCCUUAGUUUGUGUAAACAUUGUUUUGCUGACUAUGAAUUUUGAACUACUAAUGUUACCACCUUCCACUUAGUGAUAAUUUACUCUUCUAUUCCAUGCUGAUGUUUUAGAUCAAGAUUUUAUGGUAAAAUUUAGGCACUUUUAUGUGCAUUCCUGCUUGCUUAGAUAAAAUUACAACACAUGGCUUAAUUAGUAAGAUGUGUAUGUUCAUGAGGGAAGGCACACUUCCCACCAUUUUUUCCCCCAUUUCCAGGAAAUUGCAUUAUGAAAAUAUUGCUUUGGAAAAGGAAUGGAGCCAUUCCCUGAGUGGAAUUUAUUAUAAUUUAGCAGUUAUAUAAUUGUAAUUGAGCCACUCUAACAAAGGCUACCAUUCAUUUCUGUUGAAGCAUCAUCUAAAAAAAUCUAGCAACAUCUACUGUUGGAACUGAUGCCGGUCUAUUGAGUAGGUAACUAUGCCUGAACACAAAUUUGAAAUCCUUUGGGAACUAACUAUUGUUCUCAUUGUUUAUUAACUAUCUGAAUUUCUAAUAUCCAUUCUUUGAGGUCUUAAGAGAUGAUAGUAUUCAAUGGAAAUACAUGUUGUAGGGAUAACAUGCUGAACUGCUACAACUAAUACUUGAAUGAUAAUAAGUAGUCAACUUGAUGAGAAGUAAUGUUUAGUCAGCUUUUUUUGGUGCUAUGACCAAAAGAGCUGAAAAAUUUUCCUCAUUAAAGGAGGAAAAGUUUAUUUGGGGGCUCACAGUUUCAGAGGUCUCAGGUCAUAGAUGACAGGCACCAUUCCUCGGGGCCCAAAGUGUGGCAGAGCAUCAUGGUGAAAGUGUUUGGCAGAAGACAGCAGCUCAAGAUGUGGCAGCGUGGAAGCAGAGAGAGAUUAUCUGGUCUCCAGGGACAAAAUAUAUACCCUAAAAGCACCCCCCUAGAAACCUACUUCCUUUAGCCACACAAUAACUGCCUAGGGUUGCCACCCAGUUAAUACCAUUCAGGGGAUUAACACACUGAUUAAGGUUAAGACUCUUAUAAUCUAAUCAUCUCACCUCUUAACAUUCUUUCAUUGUUUUACACAUGAGCUUUUGGGGGACACUUCAUAUCUAAACAAUAAAAAGUAGGCCUAUGCAAAUAGUAUAUAGAGAUGUCACCUGGAAGUGACUGAAAAAGUAGAGAGAGGUCUGAAAGUGAGAGCUACAAACUCUAAUGUUUGUCUACUAUCUGUUUAUUAAAGUUAUAAAAAUUUGCUAAACUCUGGUUAUAUAAUUAUUUUGCUGAGCCUUGCUGUAACCAUCUUUAUUCUUUUUAAAAAAGAAUAUGUAUGUUCAUUAAUUUUUUAAAAUAAUAAAAAUUAACAGACCAAUAAUGAGUUCAAGUCAGUAAUAAAAAGUCUCCUAUCAAAGACAAACCCAGGACCAGAUGGCUUCACUACUGAAUUCUAAAAAAGCACUUAUAGAAAAACUAAUACUAAUUCUUAAAGUACACAAAACAUUGAAGAGGAAAGAAUUCUUUCAAAUUGAUUCUGUGAGACCUGUGUUACCUUGCUACCCAAACCAGAUAAGGACACAACAAAAAAAUAAAACUUCAGGCCAAUGUCCUUGAUGAGCAUAGAUGCAAAAAUCCUUGAUAAAAUGCUAGCAAACUGAAUCCAACAGCACAUUAUAAUGUUAUUUACCAUGAUCAAGUGGUACUCAUCCCAGGGAUGCAAUAAUUAUUCAACAUUAGCAAGCCAAUAAAGGUGAUGCAACAUAUCAACAGAAUGAAGGAGAAAACCCAUGUGAUCAUCUUAAUAGAUGCAGAAGAUGAAUUUGAUGAAAUUCAACAUCCAUCAUGAUAAAACUCUGAGCAAAUUGGGUAUAAAAGGAGCAUACUUCAACAUAAUAAAGGUCACAUAUAAUAAGAUAACAGCUUAUAUACAGAAUAGAGAGAAACUGAAAGUUUUCUAAGAUCUGGAACAAAACAAGGAUGUCCACUUUUGCCACAUUUACUCAGUGUUAGAACUGGGUAUCCUAGUCAAAGCAAUCAGGCAAGAGAAAGAAAUAAAGGGUAUUCAAACUGGAAAUGAAGAAGUCAAAUUGUCACUCCUUGAGUGUGAGUAAGUGCAUAUGAGUGUGUGUGUGUGUGAGUAUCUGUGAGUGGUUGUGUGUUGAAUGAGUUUGAGUGGGUAUGUGUAUGUAUGUGUGAAUGUGUGUUUGAGUGAGUGUGUGUAUAUAAAAUCAUGUAUAUACAAAGUGUCCACUAAAAAAUCUUAUUAAAACUAAUAAGUGAAUUCAUAAAAAUUUCAGGAAACAAAAUCAACAUCUAAAAAUCAAUAGUGUUGGUAUAUACCAGUAGCCAAUUAUCUCAAGUAGAAAUCAAAAAAGAAAUUUCAGUUAUUAUAGCUAAUAUAUAUAAUAAAAUUAUAGAAAUUAGUGAACUGGGCAUGGCUGCACAUGACUAUGUGUAAUAAUUCAGGAGACUGAGACAGGAGGAUUUCAAGUUCAAGGCCAAUUUGAGCAACUUGGAGAGAACCUAUCUCAAAAUAAAAAAAAUAUAAAAGGCUGGGGAAGCAGCUCAGAGGUAAAGUUUCCUUGGGUUAAAUCACCAGAACCAGAAGAAAAAAAGACAUUGGUGAAAUUAUUUGAAGAUGACAAAGGAAAAUGGAAUAAAAAAUUUUUGCAGAUUGCAAGAAUUAAUACUGUUAAAACAUCCAUACUUUCCAAAGCAAUCUAUGAGUUCAAAGCAUUCUUUAUCAAAAUACCAAUAACAUUCUUCACAGUAUCUGAAAAUCCCCCCAAAUUUGUGUAGAAUCACACACACACACACACACACACACACACACACACACACCCCUGAUAGUCAAAACCAUCUUGAGCAAAAAGAACAAAGCAGGAGACAUUAUACCUGAUUUCACCAUAUUCUACAAAGCUACAGUCAUCAAAAUAUGAUUGAGCUUUAUGAUUGAGCUAUAUCACACCUGGGUAUAUACCCAAAGGAAUCAAAGUCAGCAUGCUACAGAGAUACCUGCAUACCCAUGUUAAUCACAGCACUAUUUAUAAUAGCCAAGUUAUGGAAUCAGCCUAGGUACCCAUUGAUGGAUGAGUGGAUAAAGCAAAUGUGGUACACAUACACAACAGACUAUUAUUCAGCCAUUAAAAAGGGUAAAAUCACAUCAUUUGUAAAAUGGAUGGAAUGGGAGAUCAUAAUGUUAAGCCAAGUAAGUCUGACUCAGAAAAACAAGUAUCAUAUCUUUUCCCUCGUAUAGGGGUGAAAAGAUAUGAAAGUUGCAGGGAUAUUAUUAGAGGAAGGGGGUCAGGAGGAAGGUAGAAAAGAGGGCAAGAGAGAGUAAUAAGAAGUAGACACAAUCAAAGUAUGUUAUUUGCAUAUGCCAUAAUGAAACCCAUUGUUCUGUAAAAUUAAAAUUCACUUAAAAAAGAAAAACAACAGAUAUUGGUAUAAAACUAGACACACAGACCAUUGGAACAGAAUCAGCCAAGAAGCAAACCCGUGCUUCUAUAGCUAACUGAAUUUUAACAAAUUGGUGAAAGGAAAGUCUUUUCAAUAAAUGGUGUUGAAAAAUUAGAUAACCAAAUGCAGAAGGAAAAAAAACUAGAAAAUGUGAUGGAUAAGCAUACUAGAAUACUAUUCAGCCAUAAAAGAAAGAAAUCCUGUCUUUUGUGAUAACAUUGAUGGAACUGAAUAUCAUGAUGUUAAGGGAAAUAUACCAGACACAGUGAGACAAACAUUGCAUGAUCUCAGUCAUACAUGAAAUCUAAGAUUGUUGAUCUCAUAGAAGUUGAGAGUAGAAUGGUGGUUACCAGAGGCUGAUCAAAGUAGGAAGAAGGAAGGGAUGGGGGCACCACACUUCCAUAGGAGCAAGAAGUUCUGCUGGGCCACUGUGU